rnacentral:misc_RNA from 1 species
AACUUUCGACAAUGGAUCACUUGGCUCUCGCAUCGAUGAAGAACGCAGCGGAAUGCGAUAAGUAAUGUGAAUUGCAGAUUUUCAGUGAAUCUUUGAAUCUUUGAACGCACCUUGCGCUCCUUGGUUUAUUCCGAGGAGCAUGCCUGUUUGAGUGUCAUUUGGACUUUGGAGCGUGCUGGCGUCGGUCGGCUCCUCUCAAAUGCAUCAGCGGAAUCUAACAUUUCGGACGUCAGUGUGAUAAUCACGUUGCGCUGUCAACCGAUCCUACAACUUCAUAUCAAAUUUGACCUCAAAUCAGGUAGGACUACCGCUGAACUUAAGCAUAUCAAUAAGCGGAGGCU